rnacentral:rRNA from 1 species
GUGCCAGCCGCCGCGGUAAUACCGGCAGCCCGAGUGAUGGCCGAUCUUAUUGGGCCUAAAGCGUCCGUAGCUGGCUGCGCAAGUCCGUCGGGAAAUCCACCCGCCCAACGGGUGGGCGUCCGGUAGAAACUGGCCGGCUUGGAACCGGAAGGCUCAGAGAGUACGUCCGGGGUAGGAGUGAAAUCCCGUAAUCCCGGACGGACCGCCGAUGGCGAAAGCACGUCGCGAGAACGGACCCGACAGUGAGGGACGAAAGCCAGGGUCUCGAACCGGAUUAGAAACCCUAGUAGUCC